rnacentral:misc_RNA from 1 species
GGAUAAAAGUCGUAACAAGGUUUCCGUAGGUGAACCUGCGGAAGGAUCAUUAUUGUAUAACCGAGGUGCGAGGGCUGUCGCUGACCCGAAAGGUCGUGCACGCCCGAGUGCCCUCACUCACAUCCAUCUCACCCCUAUGUGCACCACCGCGUGGGUCCCCCUUUGGCUUGUUCGGAGGGGGGCUUACGUUUUCACACAAACUUUGUAUGCAGUGUAGAAUGUAUUUUUUGUUUUUGCGAUCACGCAAUCAAUACAACUUUCAACAACGGAUCUCUUGGCUCUC